rnacentral:rRNA from 1 species
AACGAACGCUGGCGGCGUGCUUAACACAUGCAAGUCGAACGAGAAAGCUCCUUCGGGGGUGAGUAGAGUGGCGCACGGGUGAGUAAUAGAUAGGAACGUACCUUAUGGUGGGGGAUAACCACGGGAAACUGUGGCUAAUACCGCAUAAGAUCGCAAGAUGAAAAGUAGCCUCUCCUUGGAAGCUUCUGCCGUUAGAUCGGCCUAUCUCCCAUUAGCUUGUUGGCAGGGUAAAGGCCUACCAAGGCGACGAUGGGUAGCUGGUCUGAGAGGAUGAUCAGCCACACUGGAACUGAGACACGGUCCAG